CCUACGGGUGGCAGCAGUGGGGAAUAUUGCACAAUGGGCGCAAGCCUGAUGCAGCCAUGCCGCGUGUGUGAAGAAGGCCUUCGGGUUGUAAAGCACUUUCAGCGGGGAGGAAGGCGUUAAGGUUAAUAACCUUGGCGAUUGACGUUACCCGCAGAAGAAGCACCGGCUAACUCCGUGCCAGCAGCCGCGGUAAUACGGAGGGUGCAAGCGUUAAUCGGAAUUACUGGGCGUAAAGCGCACGCAGGCGGUCUGUCAAGUCGGAUGUGAAAUCCCCGGGCUCAACCUGGGAACUGCAUUCGAAACUGGCGGGCUAGAGUCUUGUAGAGGGGGGUAGAAUUCCAGGUGUAGCGGUGAAAUGCGUAGAGAUCUGGAGGAAUACCGGUGGCGAAGGCGGCCCCCUGGACAAAGACUGACGCUCAGGUGCGAAAGCGUGGGGAGCAAACAGGAUUAGAUACCCUUGUAGUC
rnacentral:rRNA from 1 species